rnacentral:rRNA from 1 species
UACGGAGGGUGCGAGCGUUGUCCGGAAUCACUGGGCGUAAAGGGCGCGUAGGCGGCUCGGUAAGUAGGGGGUGAAAUCCUGCGGCUUAACCGCAGGGCUGCCUUCUAAACUGUCGAGCUCGAGCACGGUAGAGGCAGAUGGAAUUCCCGGUGUAGCGGUGGAAUGCGUAGAUAUCAGGAGGAACACCGGUGGCGAAGGCGGGUCUCUGGGCAGUAACUGACGCUGAGGAGCGAAAGCGUGGGGAGCGAACAGG